GCACCUACGGGAGGCAGCAGUCGGGAAUAUUGCACAAUGGAGGAAACUCUGAUGCAGUGACACCGCGUAUAGGAAGAAGGUUUUCGGAUUGUAAACUAUUUUAGACAGGGAAGAAAAAAGACAGUACCUGUAGAAUAAGCUCCGGCUAACUACGUGCCAGCAGCCGCGGUAAUACGGAGGGUGCGAGCGUUAAUCGGAAUUACUGGGCGUAAAGCGCUCGUAGGCGGUAUGUCAAGUCAAGGGUGAAAUCCCCGCGCUCAACGUGGGAACUGCCUUUGAAACUGGCAAACUGGAGUGUGUGAGAG
rnacentral:rRNA from 1 species